ACGACUCGGACUAUGGCGAGAAGUGGCAAACUGCUCAGUAACACGUAGCUAACCUACCCUCAGGACGGAGAAAACCCCGGGAAACUGGGGUUAAUCCCCGAUAGGCGUGGAUUCCUGGAAUGGUGUCACGCCGAAACGUUAACACACCAUGUUUGUGUACACGCCUGAGGACGGGGCUGCGGCCGAUCAGGCAGUUGGUGAGGUAACGGCUCACCAAACCUUUGACCGGUACGGGCCGUGAGAGCGGUAGCCCGGAGAUGGACACUGAGACAAGGGUCCAGGACCUACGGGUCGCAGCCGGUACGAAACCUCCACAAUGCACGCAAGUGCGAUGGGGUUACCUCGAGUGCCGCCUGAAGAAGGCGGCUUUUCCAUUGUGUAAUGAGCCGUGGGAAUAAGGGGGGGGCAAGACUGGUGUCAGCCGCCGCGGUAACACCAGCCCCCCGAGUGGUGGGGAUGUUUAUUUGGCCUAAAACGUCCGUAGCCAGCUAGGUAAAUCUCUCGUUAAAUCCAGCGUCCUAAGCGUUGGGCUGCGAGAGAGACUGCCAAGCUAGAGGGUGGGAGAGGUCAGCGGUAUUUCUGGGGUAGGGGCGAAAUCCAUUGAUCCCAGGAGGACCACCAGUGGCGAAGGCUGCUGACUAGAACACGCCUGACGGUGAGGGACGAAAGCUGGGGUAGCGAAUCGGAUUAGAUACCUGAGUAGUCCCAGCCGUAAACGAUGCAGGCUAGGUGUU
rnacentral:rRNA from 1 species